rnacentral:lncRNA from 1 species
GUGAAUCAGGCGCUGGCAGAUCAGUGAGGUGCAGGCCAGCGAACCGCCCGGCAGGGCCUGGACACACACUGGCUGGGGGCGCAUGCGGAGAUCGCCCCGCCUUUGAGAAGCUCCCUUCUGCUGCUCCGGCUUCCGCUGCUGCCCUUACCUGCCAAAGAUGUCACCGUGAGGGGUGAGGACGGGAGGAAACCAGGCAUGCUUAUGACUUUUGGUGAAUACACUGGGGUAAUUAUUGGUGUUUA